UACGUAGGGGGCAAGCGUUGUCCGGAUUUAUUGGGCGUAAAGAGCUCGUAGGUGGUUUGUCGCGUUGUUCGUGAAAACCGGGGGCUUAACCCUCGGCGUGCGGGCGAUACGGGCAGACUUGAGUACUGCAGGGGAGACUGGAAUUCCUGGUGUAGCGGUGGAAUGCGCAGAUAUCAGGAGGAACACCGGUGGCGAAGGCGGGUCUCUGGGCAGUAACUGACGCUGAGGAGCGAAAGCGUGGGGAGCGAACAGG
rnacentral:rRNA from 1 species